CUUCUCCUUGGUCGCAUUUUUAUUUUGAUCCAAAAUCAAUUUUUCUCUUCUUCCUCCGAUCUCAAUCACUCAUCCUCUGUCGAUUCUGAUCCGGAUCUACUUCUUAGAAUCAAGAAACCGACGUCCCUCUCUUCUCUUUGUUGUUGCGUAAGGACAGCCUUAUCCAAGGUCCGAUCAAUCUGAGAGCUGGAGUAGGUGGAGGUCCCGACGGCGGACGUCUGAGAAGUUCAUUGAUAAACAGUAUUUGCAGUCUAUGGCACAAGCUGUUCAUGCUUUCGAUCUAAACAUGCGAAUAGUCUUCUGGAAUGCUAUGGCGGAGAAGCUUUGUGGCUACUCUGCAGCGAAGCAGUUGGGGUGGGGAGAAUCCAAUUAGUGUUAUUGCAGUAGGUCGUGAUACUACUUUCUCUGUGAAUAUUGCUAGGCGUUGUGUCCGUGGAGAGAGCUGACUACAUUAAAGGCGCAAGAAGGUGAAACGAGCUUUGCACCAGCAAGGUGAGAGUAGUACUAUACUCUCUGAGGGUGGCAGUGGGGAUAGCCAUCAAUCAGAUCAUAGUGUCUUCGGUGCGACUCACUCAGACCACAGGGACGAUGCAGCAUCAAGUGGUGCCAGCGGGAUUUUGAUGUCGGUUAUGAUGCGAAGAGAGAAGAGGGAUUCCCGUCACUUCAAACGGAUGCGGUUUCCACGAGGAAGCAGAUUUUGCUGUAUACACUUGGUUUUAUGACCACAAGCCACUAGUAAAGACCAAACUGAUUAAUGGUCCCAGCUACCAGUGACAAUGACUUAUAAGAAAGAAAGAAAGAAAGAGGAUCCCCCCUGACCAUGGAAAAGAUGGUGACUGUUCUGGAUUGGAGAUUUAAACUUCCAUUUCAAUAUUUAUAAAUUUUGGUUCACAGGUUCAGAUUUUUGCAGAUUUGAUUCGGAUUCAAACCAUUUAAAUUACAUUUAAAAAAAAUUUAAAAAUUCAAAUAUAAUUUGCAAGUGGCUGUACUGUGUACAUAAUAAUUUGUUGCUAAAGACUUCUUUAUUUUUUGAGGUCAA